GUGGGGAAUAUUGGGCAAUGGGCGAAAGCCUGACCCAGCAACGCCGCGUGAAGGAAGAAGGUCUUCGGAUCGUAAACUUCUAUCCUUGGUGAAGAUAAUGACGGUAGCCGAGAAGGAAGCCCCGGCUAACUACGUGCCAGCAGCCGCGGUAAUACGUAGGGGGCAAGCGUUGUCCGGAAUGAUUGGGCGUAAAGGGCGCGUAGGCGGCCUGGUAAGGCUGGAGUGAAAGUCCUGCUUUUAAGGUGGGAAUUGCUUUGGAUACUGUCGGGCUUGAGUGCAGGAGAGAUAAGUGGAAUUCCCGGUGGAGCGGUGAAAUGCGUAGAGAUCGGGAGGAACACCAGUGGCGAAGGCGACUUACUGGACUGUAACUGACGCUGAGGCGCGAAAGUGUGGGGAGCAAACAGGAUUAGAAACCCGUUAGUCC
rnacentral:rRNA from 1 species